rnacentral:tRNA from 3 species
AGGAGUGUAGCUCAGUUGGUAGAGCGGCGGUCUCCAAAACCGUAGGCCGGGGGUUCGAGUCCCUCCACUCCUGCCA